rnacentral:rRNA from 1 species
CACCAGACUCCUACGGGAGGCAGCAGUGAGGAAUAUUGGUCAAUGGUCGGGAGACUGAACCAGCCAAGCCGCGUGAGGGAUGAAGGUACAGAGUAUCGUAAACCUCUUUUGCCGGGGAGCAAAGAGCGGGACGCGUCCCGCCUCGAGAGUACCCGGAGAAAAAGCAUCGGCUAACUCCGUGCCAGCAGCCGCGGUAAUACGGAGGAUGCGAGCGUUAUCCGGAUUUAUUGGGUUUAAAGGGUGCGCAGGCGGAGGUGCAAGUCAGCGGUCAAAUUGCGGGGCUCAACCCCGUACUGCCGUUGAAACUGCAUCCCUUGAGUGCGCGAGAAGUAUGCGGAAUGCGUGGUGUAGCGGUGAAAUGCAUAGAUAUCACGCAGAACUCCGAUUGCGAAGGCAGCAUACCGGCGCGCAACUGACGCUCAUGCACGAAAGCGUGGGUAUCGAACAGGAUUAGAUACCCCCGUA